UGCGUAGACGGGAAAAUAAGUUAGUUGUGAAAUCCCUCGGCUUAACUGAGGAACUGCAACUAAAACUGUUUUUCUUGAGUGCUGGAGAGGAAAGUGGAAUUCCUAGUGUAGCGGUGAAAUGCGUAGAUAUUAGGAGGAACACCAGUGGCGAAGGCGACUUUCUGGACAGUAACUGACGUUGAGGCACGAAAGUGUGGGGAGCAAACA
rnacentral:rRNA from 1 species